AAGCUACUAAGAGCGAAUGGUGGAUGCCUUGACUGGUAGAGGCGAUGAAGGACGUACUAGACUGCGAUAAGCUAGGUGGAGCUGUCAAGAAGCUUUGAUGCCUAGAUUUCCGAAUGGGGCAACCCAGUAUAUAGAGAUAUAUACUACCAUAAUGGAGCGAACGAGGGGAAUUGAAACAUCUUAGUACCCUCAGGAAAAGAAAUCAAACGAGAUUGCGUCAGUAGCGGCGAGCGAAAGCGUAAGAGGGCAAACCCAGUGCUUGCACUGGGGGUUGUAGGACUGCAAUGUGCAAGAGGAAAGGUUAGCAGAACACUCUGGAAAGUGUAGCCAUAGAGGGUGAUAGUCCCGUAUGCAAAAACCUAACCUUAGCUAGCAGUAUCCUGAGUAGGGCGGGACACGAGAAAUCCUGUCUGAAGCUGGGUAGACCACUAUCCAACCCUAAAUACUACUACCAGAUCGAUAGCGAACAAGUACCGUGAGGGAAAGGUGAAAAGAACGGCGGUGAGCCGAGUGAAAUAGAACCUGAAACCAUUUGCUUACAAUCAUUCAGAGCACUAUGUAGCAAUACAGUGUGAUGGACUGCCUUUUGCAUAAUGAGCCUGCGAGUUGUGGUGUCUGGCAAGGUUAAGCUAACGCGAAGCCGUAGCGAAAGCGAGUCUGAAUAGGGCGCUAAGUCAGAUGCUGCAGACCCGAAACGAAGUGAUCUAUCCAUGAGCAGGUUGAAGCUAGUGUAAGAACUAGUGGAGGACCGAACCCGCUAGCGUUGAAAAGCUAUGGGAUGACUUGUGGAUAGGGGUGAAAGGCCAAUCAAACUUCGUGAUAGCUGGUUCUCUCCGAAAUAUAUUUAGGUAUAGCGUUGUGUCGUAACUAAAGGGGGUAGAGCACUGAAUGGGCUAGGGCAUACACCAAUGUACCAAACCCUAUCAAACUCCGAAUACCUUUAGUGUAAUCACAGCAGUCAGGCGGCGAGUGAUAAAAUCCGUCGUCAAGAGGGAAACAACCCAGACUAACAGCUAAGGUCCCCAAAUCUUACUUAAGUGGAAAACGAUGUGAAGUUACUUAAACAACCAGGAGGUUGGCUUAGAAGCAGCCAUCCUUUAAAGAAAGCGUAAUAGCUCACUGGUCUAGUGAUUUUGCGCGGAAAAUAUAACGGGGCUAAAGUAAGUACCGAAGCUUUAGACUUGCACA
rnacentral:rRNA from 1 species